rnacentral:lncRNA from 1 species
AAUAAACACGUGCAUUUUGUUUACAUUGAAAUCUGUGGUAACCUUUCAUUCGAGGUAGGGGUAGUUAAGAAAAUUAGUGUAAGUUUAAACUCUGAGAAGUUCAGGGCAUAUAAACGUUGAAAAUAUGCCGCACAGCCCUAUAUUUUGACCUUUGAAAAAAAUUGUGGUGCAUAUGAACUUUCAAUUCUAGGAUAAAAAAAAUUUCAAAACUUCAUAGUAAAAGUGGUACCGUUUUAGCCGUAAAAGGAGUUCCUAUGGGAAAUUGCAUUGUCAAUAUUUACAGAAAUGCAACCUAUA